rnacentral:rRNA from 1 species
AGUGAACGCUGGCGGUAGGCCUAACACAUGCAAGUCGAACGGCAGCACAGUAAGAGCUUGCUCUUACGGGUGGCGAGUGGCGGACGGGUGAGGAAUACAUCGGAAUCUACUUUUUCGUGGGGGAUAACGUAGGGAAACUUACGCUAAUACCGCAUACGACCUACGGGUGAAAGCAGGGGCUCUUCGGACCUUGCGCGAUUGAAUGAGCCGAUGUCGGAUUAGCUAGUUGGCGGGGUAAAGGCCCACCAAGGCGACGAUCCGUAGCUGGUCUGAGAGGAUGAUCAGCCACACUGGAACUGAGACACGGUCCAGACUCCUACGGGAGGCAGCAGUGGGGAAUAUUGGACAAUGGGCGCAAGCCUGAUCCAGCCAUACCGCGUGGGUGAAGAGGGCCUUCGGGUUGUAAAGCCCUUUUGUUGGGAAAGAAAAGCAGCAGGUUAAUACCCCGCUGUUCUGACGGUACCCAAAGAAUAAGCACCGGCUAACUUCGUG